CGAUUUGUUGAGGGCAAAUGAAGUGGAUGUGUGAAUCGAACCCGCCAGCGGUCAGGAUGCGCCCUUCGCCCGCGAUGACUUCGGUACCCGGACCCACGAUAAUGUCGACGCGCGGUUGGGUGUCGGGGUUACCCGCCUUACCGAUCUUGUGGAUGCGCCCGCCGCGCAGGCCGACAUCAGCCUUAUAGAUGCCGCUGUGAUCAAUAAUCAGCGCAUUGGUGAUCACCGUGUCCACAGCGCCCUGCGCACGCGUUGCCUGAGACUGCCCCAUCCCGUCGCG
rnacentral:sRNA from 1 species